UUUUCUGAAAAAUAGAUGUGCUCUCUUCAUAACAAAUAUAUGUAUCUCUGUUUUAAAUCCUAGGUUGCAAAAUAAAGAGCUAUGGCAUCUGCAUGUACUGCUAGUUCAUGACAAAUGAACAUUUAUUGUCCAUCUCUUCAAAUUGAAAAGACUGCAGAGCCUGAAUUACCUGCAACGUUAUGCUUCUUAUGAAACAUCAGCCAGCCUACAGAUAGAAGCUCCCUUUUGCAGCUUUAAGCAAGAGGAACCACAAUGAGAUACAGAUCUUGGUAUCAUGGACUGGUCACUUUUUACAACCAACACUACUUGUAAAAUAAGAUUUACAAAUUAAUUCCUAUAAGCUAU
rnacentral:lncRNA from 1 species